rnacentral:rRNA from 1 species
CGCGUAUACAAUUUGCCUUUUACUGGAGGAUAGCCAAGAGAAAUUUUGAUUAAUACUCCAUAGUAUUAAUUGAUCACCUGAUCGAUUAAUUAAAGUUCCGGCGGUAAAAGAUGAGUAUGCGUCCUAUUAGCUAGAUGGUAAGGUAACGGCUUACCAUGGCGACGAUAGGUAGGGGUCCUGAGAGGGAGAUCCCCCACACUGGUACUGAGACACGGACCAGACUCCUACGGGAGGCAGCAGUGGGGAAUAUUGCACAAUGGGGGAAACCCUGAUGCAGCCAUGCCGCGUGUGUGAAGAAGG